GUUAGAAUUAAGUAUGACUAGGUUCAUGGAAAAUCCCCAGCCAGCUGCAGAAAACUAAUACAAAUCUGAUGGUCAAGAUAAAUAAUAUGAUAAAGUUCUGCUAACUAAUAGAUAUGACAAACCUGUGACCUUUCUGACAACCUGUCAACAUCAGCCUAUUCCCUGACCACACGAAUAUUGUGUCCUUGGCCUGCGUAAAUGUUUCACACUUCCCCCCUCCCUCUGUUACCCAUGUUAUGGUAUAAAUUCAGCCCUGGGAAAAAUGAAGUUGUCGCCUUGAUCAGACUCUUGUCUUGGCGUCCUUCUUCGCGUCUCUUGUCCCCCAUUUUCUUCCAGGUACCCCCCCAGGAUCCCUUCGCUUACACACAUUCAUUUAUUUAGUGUGUGUGUGUGUGUGUGUGUGUGUGUGCGCACGCGCACACGCUGGUGUUCUGUAGAAGUAGAUUCCAACAGAUGGCAAGUAAACACAAGCAGGCAAAGAAGUGAAUCUUCUUCUUCCAAUGUCCCUAUGUAGGUGUUCUGUAGAAGGCGUGGCCCAAAUGAAAGGUGUGUACCACCACACCUGGAUCUGGGACUUGCUUUGUCCCAGGCUGGCCUUGAACUCCGAGAUCUCCUUGCCUCGAUUUCCUGGGAUUAAAGGUGUGUACUAUGUUGCCUGGGCGUGUCAGUUGCUGAGUGCCGGAUUACAGAUCCUCUCAACCUCCCUGCUCAUCCAACUUUCUGUUCAAGAAACAAGCUGGACGGUGAUGGUGCACACCUUUAAUCCCAGCACGCCAGCGGCAGAAGCAGGGGCACCUCUGAGUUUGAGGCCAACCUGGUCUACAGAGCAAGUUCCAGUACAGCCAGGAGGGCUACGCAGAAAAGCCCUGUUUCAAAACAGAAAUGGAAAGGAAGGAAGGAGGGAAGGAAGGAAGGAAGGACAACAGCAAAACAAGAAACAAACAACCCCUCCCCCAAACACAGAAAAACAAAAUGAAAAUCCAACUCUUAGCACUCAAGAGGUUAAAGCAAAAAGGUUGUUGUAAAUUUAAGGCCAGUAUGGGAGACAGUGAAUUAGUUCCAGAUCAACUGGGACUACAGUCAGACUUUGUCUCAAAAAAAAGGUAAGAUUCCAUAGGUCACACAGCUGUGGUAACAUGGUGACACAGCUGUUGAAGCCCCAAACCCUUGACAAUUUUGCCAAUGAGCCCUCUCCUUCCCCUUUAGUUCAGGAAAGCUUUUUAAUGUGCUUUGCUUAGAUCACCCACAAUCACACAAUUACAUGAAACAAACCACUGGGAAUUCUUCCAACUCCCAAAAGUGUAGCAGAUAUUGAGAAAGAUUUCUGUUCUAAACAAGGUAAGCAAAAGGAUUUAAGAGUGAUUUCUGCUCAUUUCUUUCCACUACAAAGAAGGUUGCUAUUCUUAGGCUUGGGUAGAAUCUUUUCUAGAAGGUGAUGCUUGAGCAGUCUUUGACUUGUGUGUUUUGUUUCUCAUUCUUAUCUACUGUUAUACACAACAAACAGAUUCUUCACCUGGAAAAAAUCUGGAUUUAUUUGAAUAUGCAGAUUUCAACAAUCUGAGAUUGCCAAGUCCCCCAAAGCUUCUGGCUUUCUAUUCAUUCUGUGCCCAGUGGCUUUGUGUGUCUCUAAGGCAGCCGUUUUACCACACAGACUUCUCUCACUGCCCAAGACUCCUCCAAUCUACAGCCAACACUGAACUUUUCCUCUUGGAACUCUCCAAAACUCAGUUUCCAUGUCAAGAAUUUUGCAUGACAUCAUCCCUUCCCCCCUUCUCUAUGUCUUUCUCUCAUAUUUUUUAAAGAUUUAUUUACUUAUUAUAUGUAGCUGUAUUCAGACACACCAGAAGAGGGCAUCAGACCUCAUUAUGGAUGGUUGUGAACCACCCUGUGGUUGAUGGGAUUUGAACUCAGGAUGUCUAGAAGAGCAGUCAGCGCUCUUAACCAUUGAAUCAUCCCUCUAGCCCUCCUCUCCUAUUUUUAAGAGAACUUAAACUUUGUGGGGGUUGGUGAAAUGGCUUAGCAGGUAAAGGCAUUUGCCCCCAAGCCUAAUGUCUCUUGGAGUUCAAUCCCUGGAACCACACCACCCCCACCGCCCCCGAACGUACUUUAAAAAACAUUCAGUGAUAUUUAUUGCCGUACUUGUUAAAGGCAGACUUUUCUUAGGACCUCAUAAUAGGCAUAGGGAUUACCUUAGUGGGAUUUCUGCAGUAGGAGAAAAAGGUUGGUCUCAGCUCACAAAAUAGCAAGGACAAGUGGGAGUUUAUAGCUGAGAAGCAGGGUGGGAGUCAGCAAAAGAAGGGAGGAUGGAUGGAUGGAUAGAUGGGGAUUCUGGACAACCUGACCUAAGAAAUUUAGAAAUUUACUUAGGGAUCAAAGGUACCUAGGCCUUGAAGCUAGGGGGCGCUGCAAAAAUGACCUAACAGGAUUUUUACAAAAACUAGAUUUCAUAAGGAAGUGCAUAGAUUGGGUUUUAGGAGACUGAUGAGGUUUGGUCAGAUGAGAUGUUUAUCAGAACAACCUUAUUCACUACUCACUCAGGAUAUCUUUUCUUCGCGGAGUUCAGUGUCGUUAAGCUCUCAGCUGAUAGGAUAUAGCAACCAGAAGAGAUCAGCCAGCCUAAGUCCUGCCUGAAGCGACCCUGUGGGCAACACUGACCACUGCAAACAGGACAUCAGGGAACUGUGAGUUCUCGUCCCAUCAUGCUCACAGUGUUCAACACUGUCGUGAGCCGAAGUUGAGGCCUUGGAGGAGAUGGCUGUGGCCCUGGACAGCAUUUUCUUGGCCUGCUGGCCUCUGCGAUUUGCUGGCGGCCAUGUGAUUUUUAUUUGGCUAGAUGACUGCAAUGGACUAUCCUGUGCCAUUUUCAUUUCCUCAAGUUCGUUUCUGAAUCCUUGCAUGUCUGGUACCUGGGCAUAUGGAAGGAAGCAGAUAGAAGAGAUGAGUCUACAGCUGGGAAUGGUGGGAGUUGGUCCUGGAGGUCUAAUACAAAUGAAAUCUCUGGUUAACCUAAAUGUCUAAAGAUUCUCUUAAGUGAACAUCCCAUCUCCAAGACAUUAUUGUCUAGGAUCUCUUGCCCCUUGUUCAGCCAGGGCACAAGCUGAUCUCCACUGAUAAGUCACUCAGUAGCCACAGGAUAUAGAAGACUUAUCUUUUUUUUUACCACUAUACAUCUAAAAGUUUCCCAAAAAAUGGGAAACACAUUUCCCUUUUUUGUUGUUGUUGUUAUUUUGCUUGUUCGUUGCAGGGUCUCACAGCUGACUAGACUGGAAUUCUUGGUAGUCCUAUUUUCUAGCCUCUUGUGCUAGAACUGUAGGCACGUUUCCCUGCCAUCCAUCCUCAACUGUCCUCCAACUCCUACACUACUCAGGAUUAAAUCCAGGACUUUGCAUACUUGGCAGACACUGUGCAACUAAACUCUAUCUCUAGCCCCAUACUUGUAAUAUGAGAGAUGUGGCAGCGAAUGCCUGAAAUUCUAGUACUUGGGAGGCAAGAGGAACAGUUUGAGUUCAAGGCCAGCUUGGGCUACAACGUUUAGUUCCAGCCAGUCUAUGCUAUAUAGGGAAGGUCCAUCUCAAACAACACAAAACAACACAAAACAACAAACCAAACAGCAAUGAAAAUACCUAAAACCCAAAGAAAAAACAUUACCAUGUUUAUAUUAUGGGGAUUUUUAUUCUCUUGGGGAAUUGUACAUUGGCAGCUAGUUUGUGAGUUUUAAUCAGCAUAGGUGAUUAAGGAUGAGCUGAUGUCAUGAUUCAUGCCUGUAAUCCCAUGUUGUGUAACUUCUCUUGGGGAGAGGUGAACAAAGUCUAUUCACCCAAGAUGAGGUACCAAUAACAGAUCAGAGAAACAUCCCACACACAUCUGGCUCAGUGAGCAAAUAUUAUUGGGUUAUUUGUUUACUGGAGGUACAGGAAAAUGGUUACUUGUAGGAACAUGGAUAACUCAAAUGUCAUUGAAAAGCCCACUGAAGCAUGGGUGACAAACUGCUUUUUCCUUAGAGUGCCACACAAUUUAUAGACAGUGUGGCUGGUUAGAACCUCUUCUCCGGCAAUUGCUGCUGCUUAUAGUAACAGUAGGUGGGGACCUAUGAAUCUUCUGACUUUCAGGAGCUUCCUGAGCCUUGGAUAUUUCAUUUACUUCCUCUUCAAUAUGGAAUCAUAAAAUUCAGAGGAAAUAGCUACACAACAUCUCAGUCUUGGGAGGCCGAGACAAGAGGAUUGCUGUGGGUUCAAGGCAUGCUAUAAAGUGAGUUCAAGGUCAGAAUGGACAGUAGUCUGAGACCUUGACUCUUAGGGAAGGAGGGAGGGAGAGAGAGAUGGAGAGGGAAAGGUAGAUAGAGAUUAAAGGUAGAAAUGGCCAGUCAUGGUGUCAUACACCUUUAAUCCUCAGAAGGAGAGACAAAAGAAUCUCUGUGAGUUCAAAGCCAGCCUGGUUUACAUAGUGAGUUAUAUUCCAACUAGAGAUACAUAGACUCUGUCUCAAACAAGCAAACAAACUAAUGACAUAAUGACAAACAACAACAGCAACAAAACACCUAAAACCAAAAAGAAAAAAUAUCAUUACUAAAUCUGUACUAUUCCAGUUUUUCUACUCUUGGUGGAUGUCACUGUAUCAGCUGGUCUCAGUGUGUGUGUGUGUGUGUGUGUGUGUCUGUAAUGCUUUCAAAUCCUCACAAAACCAAUGACAAAAUAACUAAUAUUGAAUAUGAAAUUCCAGGUGUCUUACAUAAUUUAAUUUCUAUGUAGCCCAGACUAGCCCUAAAGUCAAAAUACUCCUGCCUUAGUACCCAGAGUGCUGAGUGUAGAGACUUGCGCCACCAUGCUCAGCUGGAACACUGGGGUUUGAAAUCAAGUAUUCUCAAAGACCAAACUGUUUCCCAGUUCCAGUAUUUUCCUUAUUACUCCUUCCUCUGAGUAUUGCACAUGGAGUCUUUUUUUUAAAGAUGUAUUAGUUAUUUGUGUAAUG
rnacentral:lncRNA from 1 species